rnacentral:rRNA from 1 species
UUAAACCUCUUCCAGAGUAUCAAUUGGAGGGCAAGUCUGGUGCCAGCAGCCGCGGUAAUUCCAGCUCCAAUAGCGUAUAUUAAAAUUGUUGCAGUUAAAAAGCUCGUAGUUGAAUUUCUGCUGCAUUACUUUUGCUCCUUUACGAGUCUUUGCAUUGUGGCUUAUUUCGGACUUUGUUUUACAAUGUCCGGAUGUUUACUUUGAGAAAAUUAGAGUGCUCAAAGCAGGCUUUCGCCUUGAAUAGUUUAGCAUGGAAUAAUAAAGUAGGACUUUGGUUCUAUUUUGUUGGUUUUAGGUACCAAAGUAAUGGUUAAUAGGAACAGUUGGGGGCAUUCGUAUUUAACUGUCAGAGGUGAAAUUCUUAGAUUUGUUAAAGACGAACUACUGCGAAAGCAUUUGCCAAGGAUGUUUUCAUUAAUCAAGAACGAAAGUUAGGGGAUCGAAGACGAUCAGAUACCGUCGUAGUCCUAACCAUAAACUAUGCCGACUAGGGAUCGGGCGGUGUUUCUAUAAUGACCCGCUCGGCACCUUACGAGAAAUCAAAGUUUUUGGGUUCUGGGGGGAGUAUGGUCGCAAGGCUGA